rnacentral:rRNA from 1 species
AAUGAACGCUGGCGGAGUGCUUAAUACAUGCAAGUCGUGCGAGAAAGUUUUCUUCGGAGAACGAGUAGAGCGGCGAACGGGUGAGUAACACGUAAAUAACCUGCCCUUAAGUUUGGGACAACCUUGCUAACGCGAGGCUAAUACCGGAUGUGAACAUUUGAACUCAUGUUCUUUUGUUUAAAGGCCCUUCGGGGUUGCUUAGGGAUGGAUUUGCGGACCAUUAGUUAGUUGGUGAGGUAAUGGCUUACCAAGACGAUGAUGGUUAGCCGACCUGAGAGGGUGAUCGGCCACAUUGGGACUGAGACACGGCCCAGACUCCUACGGGAGGCAGCAGUAGGGAAUCUUGCGCAAUGGACGAAAGUCUGACGCAGCAACUCCGCGUGGAGGAUGACGGUUUUCGGAUUGUAAACUCCUUUUAUUUGGGAAGAACAUACUUAUGGUAACAUAAGGAUUGACGGUACCAUUUGAAUAAGCAACGGCUAAAUACGUGCCAGCAGCCGCGGUAAUACGUAUGUUGCAAGCGUUAUUCGGAAUCACUGGGCGUAAAGAGUUCGUAGGCGGACUUUCAAGUCAGAAGUGAAAUUUUGGGGCUUAACCCCGAAACUGCUUUUGAAACUGAUUGUCUUGAGUAUGUGAGAGGUAGAUGGAAUUUCUGGUGUAGCGGUGGAAUGCGUAGAUAUCAGAAAGAACACCGGUGGCGA